AUGAUGGACUCUGUUAAUUGGCCAAUUGAAGUUGCAAUGGAUUUGGCUACGAUAUCACAGAAGGUAACUAAUCAAGUGAAGAAGACCAAGCUUGUUUGGCAGCCGCCGGCUGCUGCUGGAACUCUGAAAAUUAUUGUCGAUGGGAGCUGCUCAACAGAGAACUUCCAGGGCGUGACUAGUGUUGGUGUUCGUGAUCACGAAGGUAAAUUGUUACGAGCACAUGCGCUAUGGUAUGGUGUUGCGGCGAGUCCUCUCAAUUUGGAAGUUUUUGCGAUCCGUGAUGGUUUUCGGUUGGCAGGUAACAUGGAUCUCCGUACUAUCAUUGUGGAAACGGAUGACCUGACGGUGGUUAAUCUCUGGAGAUCGAAGAAAUUUUAG
rnacentral:rRNA from 1 species